rfam:Aedes albopictus isolate Foshan contig41540, whole genome shotgun sequence.
UAGUCUAGUGGUUUAGGCUACGGAUCGCCAAUCCGGAGACGGCGGGUUCGAUUCCCGU